CCCGUCACAUCAUGGGAGUUGGUUUCACCCGAAGUCGCUGACUCAACCGCAAGGAGAGAGGCGCCGAAGGUGAGGCUGAUGACUGGGAUG
rnacentral:rRNA from 1 species